UAACCCUAGGUUCAGAUCACAUAAAAGGAAGCAAUUAAGGUGCAACUACUAGCACAGCAAGAUCCCUAUCACAAAUGUUUCCAGGAAUGAGGCUUGAAAUGCUUAGCAAGCUCAACAUACCAAAAAGAUAAAAAUGCCAUCUUAGUAGUUGCACAGUUU